rnacentral:rRNA from 1 species
AGCGAACGCUGGCGGCAGGCCUAACACAUGCCAGUCGAACGAACUCUUCGGAGUUAGUGGCGGACGGGUGAGUAACACGUGGGAACGUGCCUUUAGGUUCGGAAUAACUCAGGGAAACUUGUGCUAAUACCGAAUGUGCCCUUCGGGGGAAAGAUUUAUCGCCUUUAGAGCGGCCCGCGUCUGAUUAGCUAGUUGGUGGGGUAAUGGCCCACCAAGGCUACGAUCAGUAGCUGGUCUGAGAGGAUGACCAGCCACAUUGGGACUGAGACACGGCCCAAACUCCUACGGGAGGCAGCAGUGGGGAAUCUUGCGCAAUGGGCGAAAGCCUGACGCAGCCAUGCCGCGUGGAUGAUGAAGGUCUUAGGAUUGUAAAAUCCUUUCACCGGUGAAGAUAAUGACUGUAGCCGGAGAAGAAGCCCCGGCUAACUUCGUGCCAGCCGCCGCUGUAAAAC